rnacentral:rRNA from 1 species
GGCAGAGGUCCCAAGCGUUAGGCGGAAUCACUGGGCUUAAAGCGUGUGUAGGCGGACUUCUAAGUACCUUGUGAAAUCCCACGGCCCAACCGUGGAACUGCUUGGUAUACUGGUUGUCUUGGGCCAUCUAGGGGCUAGCGGAACAAACGGUGGAGCGGUGAAAUGCGUAGAUAUCGUUUGGAACGCCAAUGGUGAAAACAGCUAGCUGGGGAUGUGCCGACGCUGAGACACGAAAGCCAGGGGAGCGAACGGG